CAAAAUGGUUGAACAUGUGGAAUUGCGGGUGCAGAAGAACCUAUUAAAUCCACAUUUUGACGGAUAUAAAUUGUCUCUUGACUCUUUACCAGUUUAUUCGAAAGAACUGGAAUGUGGUUUAGAUGUGGUAAAGCUCACAGAUGACCAGUAUUCCUACCACCACGCCAAGUUGUUUGGAAGUCACAACCAUCUGAUCUCUGACCCGUGGUCUCCAGACACCAUUUACUUUAUUGACACAGAAUGGGAUGUCAGGAGAGUCCAGCUGUCAGGGCAGUCAAAACUUGAGAUUGGUGACCGUAUUUUUCAAAUUCCUGACCGUGCCAAUCAGCAUUUAGUACCAGGACGGUACAAUUCUUCACUGUGUUUUGCGGGCCGUCACACGGCUGUGUUAGCAGAUGGGGCGGGCAACUUUUCUGUCUUGGACACGGACAACCGCGUGGAGCAUGCUUAUGUCUGGAAGGCAGUGUUUAGCAGCAGUGACGUGGUGUCUGGCUCAAAGCUGUUCGAGGUGGUGUCUGCAGUACAGCACAGAACGGACGAAAACCACCGGAUCGAGUGUCUGCUGGUCCACAUCGAGGAGCGAGACGAGGAACACAAGGAGAAAUACAGCUCUCCAUUCCUCACAGUCAUCACCUGGAUCACACUUCUGUCAGUGGACAAGAAGGUUUGGACUGUUGAGCGGACACGUCGUCUGGAAGGUGUGAAGCCGUUUGACUAUGCCGUUGUUGAGAAAGACGGCAGUGCGGUGUUGAUACUAAGUGAACAGAAAUUCACACUUGUCACGGAUUCUGUAAACCCCGUACAGUCGGCCGGGGAGUGGGAGGUCAUAGCGAAAGUGUUUCCUGAUGACAUCCCCCGGUAUACGUGGAGCCAGGACAGUGAGGACAUUAACAUCCAGUUCACGGUUCCAGCCGGCGUCGUGAAGGCCGACAUCUUUCUCAACCUGCAGGCCGAUCACAUCGAGUUUGGAGUUAAGAAUGGACUGACCUUGCUCAAGGGUCAGGUACAUGACCGCGUUGAUGUCGAGGCAAGCACUUGGACUAUUCAGGGUCAAAGAGUGGAGCUGACACUGAGUAAAGAAGUGUCGGGUAACUGGCCGGAGGUUGUGCUGGGCGACACUCAUGGAGAAAUGGUUUUGGACACGGAGCAGGUGGCUCAGAUCCACGAGCGGCUGGCGCACCUCACGUCAGAUCAGUGGAAUCCUGACCCGGAAAGCCGCGGUGAAAAACCAUACAACUGUCAGGAGUUGGAAGAUUGUGAUGACAGCAACGAUGACUGCAGACUGAUGAGAAUUGAUGGAGAAACUCACACCGCCACACACGCGAUAAAUCUUGGAGGUCAUCAGUGGCUGUUCUGCAAACAGACAGAUUCGGAAAAGCCACCCGCACUCUGUCUCCGACAUGAUGUUGACGGGUUGUUAUGGCAACCAGAACAGCCAUCAUCGUCCAGAGAAACUUUACUGCAUCACACUGGGACAUUCAAUGCUUUCGGUUACGUCCAGGCAUCAAAGCAGCAGAAAAAGUUCUCAUCGUGUGCCCCUAACCUCUCGUACGCUGUGAUCUGCGAGUGUGUGCGACACAUCUACAUAUACAGACAGAACUCUCCCGUGCUGUCGCCGCUGAGAAACAGAAAGACCGGGCAGCAGGUCAGUGCCAUCGCGAAGCAGCAAGUGGUGGCGCUGGAGUCGACUGAUAACAUACUGGGGCUGCACGUGACAAACAGGCAAAUAUUCGUAGCAACCGGCAAAACAGUGUAUGCUAUUGCCACAGAGGAAACAUCAGGGUGAACAAAGCUUGGAGAUCGAGUUCAUAUUCCAAGACACGUCAUACAAACUGUCAUUGUGUUUGUGUGUCAGUUAUGCAACAUCAAAUUUAUACAUACUGUCAGUUGGUUACAUGGUGAAUCGUUAAGUUCUAUAAUUAAAAGCUGCAAACUUAAGGGUACCCAAAACUAUUCAUGUAUUCCAAAAGUGCAUGUGUCCUAUGUAGUUCUAGACUAAUUUUUGGACACUUCAUGCAUAGCACAUCACAGGGCUCAAUACAGCAAGUAACUUUUAUUCACUUGCAACUGGUUUUUCAACAGUAAUAGCCAACAGGCGAGUAACAAUUAUUAGGUUUAGAAGACUUAAUCAAGCUGAACAUGCCUUUAAUCAGUUUAAUGUUAUGCCGUGUUAAGUAUGCAACGUAGGAUCAAGAAACAAAACAUGUUUAUUUCCUGUAGUUACUUCGGUAAACUCCGGCUUAGAUCAUAUGAAAUUGUUAUAAACCAUUUAUUUUUAGACUCCUCAGGUUAUUAUAUAGACUGAGUAAGGGCAAAGUACCAUAACAACCAGCCAUGAAACAUGGCCACAUUUUUCCUUUCCUUCCUGGGUCCUUUGAAUGGAGGACCCUGGCCGUGAAUACCCCCCCCCCCCCACUUGGCUAUUAAUGAACUGCUGUAUCUCUUCCCCCCCCCCCCCCCCCCCGGGGCUUAUUCUGGUUAAAUACCAUAUUUGUGGCGAGUGGAUGAAGAAAUUUGGCUACGAAUAUAUUUCAUUUACUAGCCAGCAGGCAAGUGAAAGAAAACUUCUGCAUUGAGCCCUGCAUCAGUAGAAAAAUUGUAACUCACCAGUUACCUAAAUUUAUGCUGCGUUCAUUAGAAGUCGUGAAUAUCGUAGUUACCAAUUCAUAAGUUGUGAAGAGCGUUCAUUUGGCGAAAUAACCCGUGAACACAACUUGUGAACUGGGGUGGGAUUUCACAACUCGUGGAAAAAAUGGCAGAACAAACACAAAUCUUUUGUGAAACUAUGAGGUGGGGUGUGAGGGAUUGGAGUAACAGUGCAGAUUGUCUAUAAAUCCACUUGGUGAAAUCAUGUUCACAAUUUGGAACUUGUGAAUUCAAAAGGACCAAAUGAACGCAGCAAAAGUUCACACAACUGAACAUUUGGUUAUCUAGGUGAAAUCAUAUGAACGGACUUCUGGUUAUCUAAGAUUUAGAAAUAUUGUCCCCUGUAUUCAUACAUCAGUCUUCUUAGGUGAAAUCAUAUGAACGGACUUCUGGUUAUCUAAGAUUUAGAAAUAUUGUCCCCUGUAUUCAUACAUCAGUCCUCUUAGGUGAAAUCAUAUGAACGGACUUCUGGUUAACUAAGAUUUAGAAAUAUUGUCCCCUGUAUUCAUACAUCAGUCUUCUUAGGUGAAAUCAUAUGAACGGACUUCUGGUUAUCUAAGAUUUAGAAAUAUUGUCCCCUGUAUUCAUACAUCAGUCUUCUUAGGUGAAAUCAUAUGAACGGACUUCUGGUUAACUAAGAUUUAGAAAUAUUGUCCCCUGUAUUCAUACAUCAGUCCUCUGAAUAUUGGGAGAAUAGUUCUUUAGUUUAUCCUUCACUCGCACAAGUCAUUUUUUGUUUGUUGAUUUGAUUUGUGACAUUAUUUACAUGGUGAAAAAGGAAUACUUGGGGAUCAGAAGAUGGUGCAUGGGAAGGAUUAGCAAUUGCUUAUUAUUAUGGUUUUACUUUAAUAUGUAACAGUGUUUUUGUAUUAUGUAAAAGAAAUUACUUGACUUGUUUUCAUUAGCUUUGAACAAAUAAAAUUUGAACCUGUGGGUUACACAUGUAAUUAGGUGUACCUUGGUAUGAAUUUAACAUGGACAAAGCCGGUUCAAAUUUACAACCAAACAAAAUACAAUUUUUUUCAAAAUAUCUGUCCAAAGCUGUAACCACGAAGAGUUUCAUUUAAAUAUAUCUGUCGACUUUAUUGACAAUCUUAAUGUCGGUUUUACACAAAAAUAAACAAAAUGAACCCUGAGGAAACCAUAUAUUAUCUCGGAAGUCUGGGCCCUUAUUCACAAAAAGUACGCAAGUGCAUGAAGACCACGCAUUUUAGCAGGUACGCAAACAGUCACACUAUUUCAUGCUUUUUUUUGCGUGAACUGCAAUAGGUCCCGAUCAUGCAAUCGAGAAAAAUGGCUUUGUUAGAUGAACAUUUUCAACAAAACUUGAGAGAAAAUAGGGGUUUUCACAAUAAAUUGAUACCAAAGAGUUAAAUAUAUGUAUUCAGGGUGGAUCUAGGAUUUUCGGGGAGGGGGGUUAAACUUCUAAACAGGAACUUCUUCAACACUGAGUGUUCAUUGUGAGAUACGGCAGUUGGUUGAUAGGGAAGAGGGUAGUAGAAGGGACACACCAUCCAGUAAUGAAAAUAUAUGAAGUUACAAGUAAAAUAUCUUUUGUAGAAAACGAAAGGCCCAUGGAUUUUGGAAAUUUCCUGGGAUGUUCAAAACCUGGGAAAACCAAUAAAUGUCUGACAUCUUUGGUUUGACCACACUGAGGGCAGCUGGGUGUUAGUAGAGCAUAUUCUUUCUUUAGUAUAUUUAUUAUUGAUGUCUAACUUUGUGUAAAACUGACAUUAGUAUGGUUUCUAAUGCUGUGUAACUUUGUGUCUUUUAAAGAAGUUUUGUUCACUAAAAUUAAUUUACUAUUUAAACUUUUAUUCUGAUGUUUUCAAUUCAUUUAAAGGGACAUUCCUGAGUUUGCUACAUUGUAAGAUGUUUCCGACUAAUAAAAUAGUUAUACGAUUA
rnacentral:misc_RNA from 1 species